rnacentral:rRNA from 1 species
GACGAACGCUGGCGGCGUGCUUAACACAUGCAAGUCGAGCGGUAAGGCCCUUUGGGGUACACGAGCGGCGAACGGGUGAGUAACACGUGAGUAAUCUGCCUUUGGCUUGGGAAUAACUUCGGGAAAUCGGGGCUAAUGCCUGAUGUUUACUGUCUGCUGCAUGGUGGGUGGUGGAAAGAUUUUUUGGCCAGGAGUGAGCUCGCGGUCUAUCAGCUUGUUGGUGGGGUAAGU